CCGGCACAUCAGGAAUCAACCAGGCCACGAGGAAUUUAACUAUGAACACAACAUGCUGUGGAGGAAGAAAACUGAAGUCAGUGCGCGUGUGGGAGAAAAUAACAAUCAACUGCUACACAAGGUAGUGAUGGAGCUGUUGAACCAGGCCGGAUUCUCGUCAUCAUCGGGCCUGCUGAACUCUGGGAACUCAGAGAUGUUGAACACCGACAGGCUGUUGUUUAUGUAGCCUUUCAUGGUCAUCUCACCCUUUGGCGCGUAGGCGUACAUGUACACUAGCCGAGGGAUCAUAUCAGAGGUGAAGGCCACGAUGAACGCCUAGAAGCAGGGAAAGAAAUGAACAUUCGGUCCACCACUCACAUUUGUCACAACAGAGAGUACAGCCAUGCCGUUGAGGAUUUCCGCCCAGGCUCCGAUGCUGUGAGCUUUGGCUGCCACAGGGCGUCUGAACUGAGUGGUGAGUUUCCAAGCGUCCACUCUAACCUCAAUGAUGUUGUUGAUGAGUGCCAGCAGGGGUGCCAAGGGGAAGGAGGCGACGAACAGUGUGAUGAAACCAAACUGGAUCACUGGGACACAGAGAGAGGAGAUGUUCGUGAGAGACGGUAUGUGGAAACAGCGCCAUCUGAAGGAUGACGGGGAUCUACCUAUUUAUGCAUCUACAAGUAUGCAUGCAUGUACUCAUAGAAGAGGCCCAGCUGUCCAAAGCCCUGCAGGUCGUGAUCCUGCUCCCAGCGGCUGUACAGACUCUCUGGGUGGUUUCGUGCCUUCCUGCUGCCCCACCAGUUCAUCAGCCACCUGAAGGACACAAGGGGGCGAUAGAGAGCUUUCAUGCAAUUUAAGCUUAAGGUAUGCUGAAGGCUGUAUUGAACUGUAAACAAUGAAAACACUGCAUCUUCUGUAGUUAUCUAAUAUAUUCUGUAGAUCAUUUCUCAUUACACACACUUGUGCAAAGCUCAGGUGUUACUCGGCAGAUUACCGACGCCUUUGUUUAAGUCAGGAGUCCCAGUGAGUCAUCACAGUGUGACAGUGAGUCAGUAUGCACCAUUUAUUUUUUUUUGUAGGCACACAUAAAAUAAAUUGCUCCCUUGAUGAACUUGAUAGUAAAGAAUGCUAUUUUUGAUUAACAGGACCAUUCGUUUUUGGGGUUUAAUCCAGGAAACAUUUAGUUUCUUAAAUGUACCUUCAUUUUCAGAUAGAAACAUGCUAUCCAUGCUACUGCAAGGCACAUGGAUGUCUGUUUUUACACUGAUGACCUCCUACAUGAUGAAAAUGUAGAAACAUAUUUGUCUUUUUUGAUGCCAACAAAAAAUGAAACUAAAAGUAUGAUCCGUGGAUCAAAAACAAA